rnacentral:rRNA from 1 species
UUCUGGCUCAGGAUGAGCGCUAGCUACAGGCUUAACACAUGCAAGUCGAGGGGCAGCAUUGGAGUAGCAAUACUCAGAUGGCGACCGGCGCACGGGUGAGUAACACGUAUCCAACCUGCCGCUUACUCGGGGAUAGCCUUUCGAAAGAAAGAUUAAUACCCGAUGGUAUAAAGAGUUCGCAUGUUCUCUUUAUUAAAGAAUUUCGGUAAGCGAUGGGGAUGCGUUCCAUUAGAUAGUUGGCGGGGUAACGGCCCACCAAGUCUACGAUGGAUAGGGGUUCUGAGAGGAAGGUCCCCCACAUUGGAACUGAGACACGGUCCAAACUCCUACGGGAGGCAGCAGUGAGGAAUAUUGGUCAAUGGACGAGAGUCUGAACCAGCCAAAAGUAGCGUGAAGGAUGACUGCCCUAUGGGUUGUAAACUUCUUUUAUAAGGGAAUAAAGUGAGGGACGUGUCCCUUUUUGUAUGUACCUUAUGAAUAAGGAUCGGCUAACUCCGUGCCAGCCGCGGC